rnacentral:rRNA from 1 species
UACAGAGGUCUCAAGCGUUGUUCGGAUUCAUUGGGCGUAAAGGGCGCGUAGGCUGCAAGGUAAGUCGGGUGUGAAAUCUCCACGCUCAACGUGGAGGGGCCACCUGAUACUGCCAUGACUUGAGUCCGGUAGGGGAGUGUGGAAUUCCCGGUGUAGCGGUGAAAUGCGCAGAUAUCGGGAGGAACACCCGUAGCGAAGGCGGCACUCUGGGCCGUGACUGACGCUGAGGAGCGAAAGCGUGGGGAGCAAACAGG